rnacentral:rRNA from 1 species
GGGCUUGACAUCCCACGAAUCCCGCCGAAAGGCGGGGGUGCCCGCAAGGGAGCGCGGAGACAGGUGGUGCAUGGCUGUCGUCAGCUCGUGUCGUGAGAUGUUGGGUUAAGUCCCGCAACGAGCGCAACCCUCACCCCUUGUUGCCAUCAGGUCAGGCUGGGCACUCUAGGGGAACUGCCCCGGUCAACGGGGAGGAAGGUGGGGACGACGUCAAGUCAUCAUGCCCCUUACGUCCUGGGCUACACACGUGCUACAAUGGCCGGUACAAAGGGAUGCAAGACCGCGAGGUUGAGCUAAACCCAAAAAGCCGGUCUAAGUUCAGAUUGGAGUCUGCAACUCGACUCCAUGAAGGAGGAAUCGCUAGUAAUCGCGCAUCAGCACGGCGCGGUGAAUACGUUCCCGGGCCUUGUACACACCGCCCGUCACACCACGAAAGCCAGUUGUACUCGAAGUCGCUGAG